GAUGAACGCUGGCGGCGUGCCUAAUACAUGCAAGUCGAGCGAACGGACGAGAAGCUUGCUUCUCUGAGGUUAGCGGCGGACGGGUGAGUAACACGUGGAUAACCUACCUAUAAGACUGGGAUAACUUCGGGAAACCGGAGCGAAUACCGGAUAAUAUUUUGAACCGCAUGGGUAAAAAGUGAAAUACGGUCUUGCUGUGACUUAUAGAUUGAUCCGCGCUGCAUUAGCUAAUUGGUAAGGUAACGGCUUACCAAGGCAAGGUUGCAUAGCCGCCCUGAGAGGGUGACCAGCCACACUGGAACUGAGACCCGCUCCAGACUACUACGGACAGCAGCAGUAGGGAAUCGUGCGCAAGGAGCGAAAGCCUGACGGAGCAACGCCGCGUGAGUGAUGAAGGUCUUCGGAUCGUAAAACUCUGUUAUUAGGGAAGAAAACAUGUGUAUGGGACUGUGUCGAUAUUGACGGUACCUAAUCAGAAAGCCCCGGCUAACUACGUG
rnacentral:rRNA from 1 species